AGUAUAUUAUGUAACAUAUAUAAAAUAUUUUAAAGAAAUUUAACAAUUAAUUUUUUUUAAUUCAUAUUCAGAUCAACACAGUUUUAGAUGUGUUACGUUUCAGACAUGUGAUACGAGCUACGUUUGAUAGUUUGGUUGUGCUAUGGACAACCUUUAGUUGUGGAGAAUUUAUGUGUCGCGAUCCUGAUUCUGUAAUGUGAUUGGCUGAGAGGCGGAAGGAGGCGGGGAUUAAGGCCAAAAGGCAAAGGCGCACAGGUACGAGGCGUUGGAGAGGUUUAGAAACCGUCAAUUAAGAAGAAGUGUGUAUUUUACCAUGUUUAUGGUGCUUUUAAUUACUGUUUUCUACCGACUAACACAGCAAUGCGGAAGAAAAUUAUCAAAAUGGAGAUCUCCGAGGGAGAACGUCUAGCUUCACCGCGACGGGCGGACGGCUCCUGGUUCAGUUCAGCAUCAUCACACAGAGUUUACCCCGUCCCUGCACGUGCCGCGUUGGACGCUGACCUUGACCUCUCCAAUGAUUGAAGAGCAGGAAGUUAAGGCUCACCGGCGUGACGUGAUGAUGCUGAACACCAAUAAAUCAUUACAAGCAGACAAUACUGAAGAAUGUUCUGACAACAGCAGCAGGGACUUAUGGAGACUUGAGCAGAUGCUGAUGGACAGAAAACUACAAGCUGGGCCUGAGGGGAGGCUGCGAGCGAGGAGAGAGGGAGCCAGGAAUGCGAAAAGUGGGAGAGAUUGGUAGAAAGGGACACCUCGAUGGAGGCAGGGUGAGUGCUGGAGACAGGAGCGAUUCUGCAAAGGGAGUGCAAAACAAAUGAUUGAGGGACUAAAGGCAAAAAAGAAGGACUUUUCUUUCUUUUUGGAGUUCGCCUCAAUAAGGUCAAUUAAGAGAUCUGACUUUACAUCAGUAUAAAUGAUUAAUUAUUGUGUGGAACUGUAACAUCUAUUGCCGCCAAUAAGUUAUUUGUCAUGUCUAUGUUCAGUUAUUUGAUAUUGUACUUUAAAAGAACUACAGUAUGGCUUCGAACAAAUCUCCUUUUCUGAAAGCUGUUACUGUAGAGUAGAUGAUGAAGCCCUAAAUAUAUAGUGACACCAGGCCAAAGUGAAGUCCAGUUACUACAGUUCAUUGCGUCCGGAUGCAGAACUUUUGUUAAAGUAACUUGUGAUGAACUCAUUAAUGCAGACUGGCUCCAGCAUCCAGGAUCUGCAACAACAUGUGUGUAGAGGUCCUGACCGGUGAGUCAUACAGUAUCAGCCUUACUUUCAGAGAGAGCCAGUGUGACUUCAUCCUGCUGCCGAGCGACAGGGAGCCACAUACGCCUCUGGUUCAGCACCACGGACAGCGCCUGUGACGGGCUUUAUAAACCACCAGGUCCAUCGUGUGCGUCGCCACAGAAGCCGCUUUCCUUGACACCCGUUCUCCACUUCAUCCUGGAGACCAGGAGGCCGGGGCUCACGUCAAGUCCCUUCACUUGGUUUUGGUCUUUUUUCUACUAACUAGACUUUAGAGCUUUGUCUUCAGGUGCAGCUCCCUCUUCACGAUGCCAGUCCUGUGCAGCCGCUGCAUCGCUGCAGGGCCUCUUGUUGAUCUGACCCUCCAUCUUGACCCGCUCUAGUGCAUAAUGUCCUGAGACGGGACCGUCGUCUGGGGACAAACCAGCGCCUUUCAGGAUUCCUGCAAAUCCCUAGAAACGCGGUUCCUCAGACUUAUAGAUUCAUUUUGCUGCCGCUAAAACCAGCUG
rnacentral:lncRNA from 1 species